rnacentral:rRNA from 1 species
GACGAACGCUGGCGGCGUGCUUAACACAUGCAAGUCGAACGGAAAGGCCCUGCUUUUGUGGGGUGCUCGAGUGGCGAACGGAUGAGUAACACGUGAGUAACCUGCCCUUGACUUUGGGAUAACUUCAGGAAACUGGGGCUACUACCGGAUAGGAGCUCCUGCUGCAUGGUGGGGGUUGGAAAGUUUCGGCGGUUGGGGAUGGACUCGCGGCUUAUCAGCUUGUUGGUGGGGUAGUGGCUUACCAAGGCUUUGACGGGUAGCCGGCCUGAGAGGGUGACCGGCCACAUUGGGACUGAGAGACGGCCCAGACUCCUACGGGAGGCAGCAGUGGGGAAUAUUGCACAAUGGGCGGAAGUCUGAUGCAGCAACGCCGCGUGCGGGAUGACGGCCUUCGGGUUGUAAACCGCUUUCGCCUGUGACGAAGCGUGAGUGACGGUAAUGGGUAAAGAAGCACCGGCUAACUACGUG